rnacentral:rRNA from 1 species
CCUACGGGCGGCAGCAGUAGGGAAUAUUGGACAAUGGGCGAAAGCCUGAUCCAGCCAUGCCGCGUGAUAGAUGAAGGCCCUCUGGGUUGUAAAUAUCUUUUAUCUGGGAAGAAACAAUCUUAUUCUUAAGAUCUUGACGGUACCAGAGGAAUAAGCACCGGCUAACUCCGUGCCAGCAGCCGCGGUAAUACGGAGGGUGCAGGCGUCAUCGGGAUUCACGGGGGCGAAGGGGGGCGGAGACGGGCGGAGUGAAAGCUCCGAGCUUAACUUGGAAACUGCCAUGGAUACUGCCAGUCUUGAAUGUCGUAGAGGUAAGCGGAAUGUUGCAUGUAGCGGUGAAAUGCUUAGAUAUGUUACAGAACACCAAUUGCGAAGGCAGCUUACUAUGCGAUGAUUGACGCUGAGGCACGAAAGCGUGGGGAGCAAACAGGAUUAGAUACCCCUGUAGUC